CAGAGACUAGGAGUGUAGUCAAGCAUAAUGACAAUGAUUUAUUAGCUUAAAAAACAAAACAACGCUGUAAUGCUUCUGGGAAAAGCAACAAAACCAGGGAAUAUAGUCGUCUCCUGUACCGUGCUAUUAAGUCUAAGUAAGUUCAACCCCCAAAAUAUUUCUCCUUUUAUGUCAAUGUUAAAACAUUGUUUUAAAAACACCAUCAAUCUGAAUGACAACU
rnacentral:lncRNA from 1 species